CGGCCUACGGGGGGCAGCAGUGGGGAAUAUUGCACAAUGGGGGAAACCCUGAUGCAGCGACGCCGCGUGAGCGAUGAAGUAUUUCGGUAUGUAAAGCUCUAUCAGCAGGGAAGAAGAUGACGGUACCUGACUAAGAAGCCCCGGCUAACUACGUGCCAGCAGCCGCGGUAAUACGUAGGGGGCAAGCGUUAUCCGGAUUUACUGGGUGUAAAGGGCGCGUAGGCGGGAUAGCAAGUCAGUCGUGAAAUGCCGAGGCUUAACCUCGGAGCUGCGAUUGAAACUGUUAUUCUUGAGUAUCGGAGAGG
rnacentral:rRNA from 1 species